rnacentral:rRNA from 1 species
UAGGGAAUCUUCCGCAAUGGACGCAAGUCUGACGGAGCAACGCCGCGUGAGUGAAGAAGGAUUUCGGUUCGUAAAACUCUGUUGUUAGAGAAGAACAGCGCAUAGAGUAACUGUUAUGCGUGUGACGGUAUCUAACCAGAAAGCCACGGCUAACUACGUGCCAGCAGCCGCGGUAAUACGUAGGUGGCAAGCGUUGUCCGGAUUUAUUGGGCGUAAAGCGAGCGCAGGCGGUCAACUAAGUCUGAUGUGAAAGCCCCCGGCUCAACCGGGGAGGGUCAUUGGAAACUGGUUGACUUGAGUGCAGAAGAGGAGAGUGGAAUUCCAUGUGUAGCGGUGAAAUGCGUAGAUAUAUGGAGGAACACCAGUGGCGAAGGCGACUCUCUGGUCUGUAACUGACGCUGAGGUUCGAAAGCGUGGGUAGCAAACAGG